GAAAAGGCAAAAGAAAGCAAAUGUCUUUCAAAAGAAAAAACACUGCACUUGAGCUGCAGAAAGGUCAGAGUAGGUAUGACCGGCUCUGCUCCUCCGGCCUCCUUUUAUCUCCUCCCCCGGAUCCUCUACGGAAGCAAGCCCUCCCCCUGGCUACGGCACCUCCGUACGGGCUCCCUACGUGUCUGGGCCUUCCUCUAACUGAACUCUGCUGUUUUCUUGUUGUUUGCUGCUCAAAUGUUGCCAAAAAAUCAAAAUAAAGUGUCCAACUGAACUUAA